GGGGGGCUGGAAUCUCACUGAGGAAUAUAAAAUCCUGAAGGGAAUAGAAGUGAGAAGCUACAAGACUAUUUGAGGGAACUACGUAUAUGAAGUAGAAAAGGUGUGGAUAUAUUUAUAUGGACCAGCCUGGAAGAAAAUCAUUGCUACUGUGUUAAAGCUACAUGUAGGCUAGAAGCCCAGGAGAGGAGAGGAAGAGCUCAUCUGCUUCCCAUUCAGUGCUGCCUGGGAUGAGAGACUGUGUGUGUGUGCUGUUGGCUUCUUCUGCUGUUACCUGCCUGCUCUUUGUUUCCCCUGUUGGUCUGUGGCCUGUUGCCUCUGUGGAACAUCUGUGGGGAGUGUGUGCAGGACUGGGGCCAAGGGUGAGUGACUCAUGUUACGGCCAGUGUGGCCAAAGUUAAUGGACUGGAUCCAGAAUUUGGUACAGAACUCAGUUCUAUUUCCAAUAGCAGUGUUCAGCUCAGAGAAACACUGAUGCAAGGCCUCACUCAGCUCUGAGUGAAAUGUUUAACUCCUAGGAGACAAGAUGGAAGCUAAUCCCUUACUUCCUCUGACAGAAUGCUUACCAUGUUGAUGUCACCUAUAUUGUUUUGCCUUAGUCAAAUGCAUUGAUUAACUAGCCUCAAACAUGUACCCUUUUGCUGUUACUUUGAACAUUCUUUUUUAUAAUUACACUCUAGGUAGAUGUACACAAGAAGUAAUUUAAUUGCUGUCUCACACAUAUAGCUUAGCCUCUUCCUUCUCAAACAACCCCUUUUGACUUUUUAACACUCUUUGGAACAAGAGGCACCAGGAGCCUGCCUCUUAGGCAAAGACAGACCAACAACCUUUUAACGUGGUAAUUCUCUUUAUUUAGCAGGGGGAGAGUAACUGGCCCUCCAGCACAGGAUCUCCAAUGACUGUUGUUGGUGUCUAUCUUAUGUUUCUUUUUAGACUGUGAGCCCUUUGGGGACGGGGAGCCAUCUUAUUUAUCUUAUUUAUUUAUUUAUUAUCCCUCUGUGUAAACCGCCCUGAGCCAUUUUUGGAAGGGCGGUAUAGAAAUUGAACAAACAAACAAACAAAUAACUUAAGAAAUGCAGAUGUUUGAACAACAAAAGGAGCAAACUGCUUCUUGACAACAAAAAGACAGUAUGCAGAGGAUGCUGCUCUGAACUGGUCUAACAAAGAAACAAUUUUGUCAUGAGAAGGAAGCUUUAUGAUAAGAGUGACUGACACUUUUGAGAUCCAGGACUGAAAGUACUAUCUUGAAAGAACUCCUAGUGCAGAUCUAUAGGAUCCAGCUGCUUUAAAAAGGGGUCUCUGGACAUGGCAAAUAAGCAAGCUUUGUCUAACCAGCAGAUCUUUGCUCAACAGCAAUCCCAGAGUACACUGUUCAAGCUGCGGGGCUAGAGCAGGAAUUCUUUCCAUGGACAGGACCCAUUGCACCCAGAUCCUACAUGGUCAUCAUCUCCAAGAACCAAUUCAGUUUGUUUAUGAUGUGACUUUGCCUCUUUCCCUCUGAGCAUAUACAGAGUGUGAAACCAGGUGUAGCUCACAACACUCAGCAGUUCCAACCAUCUGCUCAGCUCUGGGGCUUUUAUAGGAACGCUGCCUGUAGCAGUCGCCCCUUUGGGGGAGCCACUUUGGAGGAUAGCAAGGGCCAGGCUGUCUGGCUCAGGAUUCUUCAUGCGUGUGUAAAAGGUAGGCGGGUAUUUUUAAUUUGGCUUCUGUUUUAAAUCCUGGGUAAGUUUAGUUUUAAUGUGCCUGGGUCUGUCUAGAGAUGGGGAGACAGGGAGUGUAUCCACUGAUUAUGGGGCAGCUGUUCCAGUGGUGGUGGGAAUAGAAGAAGUAAUGUUGGCAAGUCAGCAGGCCGUUACAGGGGAAGAGAAAUCAGAAACUUAAUCAUUGUUUCUCUUUCUGUCAGUCCUGCCAGCUCUUUGACCUUGAGGAGCAGAGCCAACCACCUUGCUCCUUUGCAAUGCCAGGUCAGUCCAGAAUAAACCUGAAAUCAUCCAUGGCCUGAUUCUGGAUGAAGGGGCCAAUCUGGUAUGUAUUACAGAGACUUGGUUGAGGGAGGCCGAUGGCCCAGGAUGGGCCCAGCUUCUCCCUCCAGGAUCCUCUGUUGAGGAGCAGGUGAGGGGACGUGAGCAAGGAGGUGGAAUGGCUGUGGUCUAUAAGAACAACAUCUAUCUCGCCAGGAUCCCUGUCCAAGUGUCUGACCUUAUUGAAUGUAUGUAAUUAAGUUUGGGGACCAGGGAUAGACUGGGACUUCUAUUAGUGUACCAAUCACCCCACUGCCCAACAGAGUCCUUAACUGAGCUGACAGACCUGUUCUCUGGCUUGGCGUUGGAAUCUCUCAGGCUUGUGGUGGUAGAGGACUUCAAUGUUGACUUUGGGACCAAUUUGUCUGGGGUGGCUCAGAAGUUCAUAGCAGCCAUGACAACUAUGGGCCUAUCUCAAGUGGUCUCAGGACGACACACAUUUAUUUAUUUAUCAUAUUUCUAUACCACCUGAUAUGUACAUCUCUAGGCAGUGUACAAAAUUUAAAAUAUUUAAAAGUUACAGAUUAAAAUACAUGACAAUAAAAACAAUAGAAUAAAAUAGAUAUUAAAACAAUUUUUUUAAAUUAUUAAAUUUAAUUCUAAUUAAAAGCCUGCAAAAACAGGAGAGUCUUGAGGUUCAUCCUGAAAACAAACAGAGAAAGCUCUUAUUAUUACAGGCGGCAGGGUAUAUGACAAAGGAGGUGCUCUCUUAAAUCAUGGACCUAAGCCAUGACACAUUGCUGAUCACACGCUUGAUCUGGUCUUUCACUCUGAACAGAGUGCAGUUCCAUGGGUGGGGACCCUUGUGAUUCCCCCAUUGUCAUGGAUGGACCACCAUCUAGUUAAGGUUGGACUCACGAUCACAUCCCACCUCCACAGGGGCGAAGGGCCCAUCAGGAUGAUCCGUCCAAGAAGGUUAUUGGAUCUAAUAGGAUUCCAAGAAGCCUUGGAGGGAUUUAGUGUUGGCUUUGCCAGUGACCCUGUAGACACCCUGGUGGAGAUUUGGAACAACCAACUCACCAGGGCAGUGGAUACAAUCACUCCUAAGCGUCCUCUCCAACCCGCUUCGAAACUGGCCCCUUUGUAUACAAAAGAACUACAGCAGCUGAAACAGUGAGGUAGACUACUAGAGCACAAGUGGGAAAAGACUCGACUCAAAUCUGACAGAUUAUUACACAAAGUGCAUUUGAAAAUCUAUGCUCAGGUGAUACAUGUGGCUAAGACACGAUUCUUUCCUCCCACAUCACUCCCACAAGUCCACGUCAAGAGGAGUUGUUCAGGGUUGUGAGGGGGCUAGUGCGUGCCCCUUCCCCCUUGAAUCAGUAAUUGGAACCAACAAUUACUCACUGAGAUGUUUUAAAUGAGUUUUUUGUGGACAAAAUCUCUCAUAUUUGAGCCGACCUAGAUUCAAACCACACACUGUUACACUGGUCUGAUGCCGAUGUGUCCAGCAGCUCCUCUUAUGCAAUGACCCUGGAUCAGUCUCAGUUUGUGACUCCUGAGGAUGUGGACAAGUUGCUUGGAAUGGUGUGGCCUACCAUCUGCCCUCUUGAUCCUUGCCCGACAUGGCUUAUACUAUCUGGCAGGAAGGCUGUUGUAGUAGAGGGCUUGGUAGAGAUUAUAAAUGCUUCUCUGAGGGAGGGCAGGAUGCCUCCUUGUCUCAAGGUGGCAAUCAUUAGAAUGCUUCUUAAGAAACCUGCCUUGGAUCCCUCAGAGUUAAGCAACUACAGGCCGAUCUUCAACCUUUAAUGGUUGGGCAAGGUGAUUGAGAGGGUGGUGGCAUCCCAGCUCCAGGAGGUAAUGGAGGAAACUGAUUAUCUGGACCCAUUUCAAACUGGCUUUCAGGCGGGCUAUGGGGUGGAGACUGCCUUGGUCAGCCUAAUGGAUGAUCUCCAAUUGGGAAUUGACAGAAGGAGUGUGACUUUGAUAUUAGAGAUCUCUUUUGGAUCUCUCGGCGGCCUUAGAUACUAUUGACCAUAAUAUCCUUCUGGAAAGUCUGAGGGAAUUGGGGGUGGGAGGCACUGCUUUACGGUGGUUCCACUCCUAUCCCACGGGAAGAUUCUAGAUGGUGUCUCUUAGAGACUGUUGUUCUUCAAAAUCUGAACUUUCAUAUGAUGCACCCUCUCCCUGGUGUCUCAGGUUGAGACAGUGGCCAGAAGUGCUUUCUGUCAGCUUCGCUGAUAUGCCAGCUGUGUUCAUUUCUUGAGAUGAAUGACCUCAGAACAGUGGUACAUAUGUUGGUAACCUCCAGGCUGGAGUACUACAAUGUGCUCUAUGUGGGACUGCAUACUAUGUAUGUAGUCUGGAAACUGCAGCUGGUACUGAACAAACGUGUUGGCCAGGUUAGUGUCUCAGUCAUCUAGGAGAGACCAUAUUACUCCGGUGUUCAAAGGGCUACAGUGGCUGUUGAUAUGUUUCUGGGCAAAAUACAAGGUGCUGGUUAUAACCUAUGAAGCAGGGGUAUAGCAAGUUUCCCUGGGACCAGGGGACAAAGUGUAGCCUGGGGGCCUCCAUCGCACACGCAAAGUGCACAUGUGCAGUCUGCUUAGCUUGCAGCUCGCCCAAGCAAGCAAGAGAAGAGGCCAACUUGUGAGGGCAAGGGGGGACUGACCUUAGGGGCCCCUCAGACCCUGUGGGCCAGGGGAGAUUUGUCCCCCCUUGUCCAAUGGACCCUUCGCCUAUGGUAUGAAGCCUUAAAUAGCUUAUGCCCUGGGUAUUUAAGAGAACGCUUUCUUUACCAUGAGCCCCAUUGCUAGUUAAGAUCAUCUGGAGAGGUUUGUCGGUGGUUGCCACCAGGUUGUCUGGCAGCUACUCUGGGACGGGACUUCUCCAUUGCUGCCCCUGGGUUUUAGAAUGCACUCCCUGUUGAAAUAAGAGCCUCCCCAUCUCUGGCAACCUUUUAAAAGGCACUGGAGACAUAUUUAUUCACCCUGGCUUUUAAUUAGAUUUACAGUUUUAAUACAUUUAAUGUUGGGUUUUAAAUUACUUUAAUGUUAAUGAUUUUAAUGUUUAAAUCAUUUUAAUUGUAAACUGUCCAGAGAUGCAGGUUUGGGGUGGUAUAAAAAUAUGUUAAAUAAAUAAACAAAUAAUACAUAAAUAAAACAAUAAUGUGCCCCAUAAGAGGGCAGACACCUUCUCUCCCCUGCUCAUCCUUUUUUUCUCAUGCUAACUUCCUUUACAGUCCCCACAAGCUCUUCAGCAUUGGCUGUAACUGAAAGCCAGAAAGAAUUACUUCCGUUUAAAUAGGGUUUACACAGGCAAGCUGCAUGUAUUGGGGGGGGGGCGUGGAACCUACAGCCAGGGCCUGAGGAGAGUGAGUCUGUACCAGAAAUUGCAAAGAAUUAGGUUAAAGGAUUCCAGCUAUCAAUCCAAUGUGGAUUUCAACUAUGACUAGGAAUGACUGAAACUACAACCUCCCCUCUCAAAUAAUGAAUACAUAAAAUAAAAACAUGAAAUGAUGAUGAACUGCAUGUAAUGUAGAUAUUAUCGAUCAGUUAUUAGCUGUCCAAUAUUGUAAGAUGUUAAAUAUCAACCACUGACAGUUAUCAACUAUCAGAAGUCAAAUGCCAUCGGCUGUCAAAUAUAAACUGCUCUCAGCUGCCAAAUAACUAUUAGAUAUCAAAUACCACAGAGGGUCAAAGGUCAAAUACAGUCAUUUCAAAUAUUGAAUGCUAAAUAUCAAAUACUGGCAAAAGUCAGCUUAAUGCUGAAUAUCAGAAAAUCAACAGAUCUUUGACCUCAGGGAAGACAAGAUAAGAAUGUGCCUCAGAGCAGUAUCAGAAGAUAUGGCUGGUUCCAUUAAUGGUGUAAACAGGUUCUAAGAGUUCAACUGGACUUCCUCCCUAGUAAGUGUGCUCUGGACUGCAGCUUUAGCGUUUUAAUGCCCUGAUCAAGAGGUACACCUGUGUCCAGGCAUGCCCAUAAGUCUCAUACACAUGUGGCGCAUUUCCACCUGCUGUUCCUGUUAGGAAAGCUCUGUGUGCCGAUCAGAACAGACCUCUGGGCCUAUGGUGCAGAGUAGUAUGCUUAAUCACUUCUAAUUAUUUUAAUAAUGGGACUGGGUAGACUAAAAAUAUAUAUCUAAAUCUAGACAAAUCAAUCAAUCAAGUUAUAAUGAUUUCCUGUACUUUGAAACUACAAGAAUUAUUAGUUUUGUGGGGGUGCUGAGCACCCUUGAUAGGACUGCAGUUCCUCAGGUUUCUUCAGGGAAGUAAUGACACUUAAAUCGGUUUUUGUGUUAUCUGAUGUAUUCCCUUCAGCAUCUCCAUCCUGACAUUGUUCAAUGCAGUCUUGGGGGAGAUACCCUACAGGUCUGACCGAGUGAGGCUAUUCUGAUCUCAUCCCUGCUAACCCAGGCAAAGAGCAACCAAAACCUCUGUGGUGCA